rnacentral:rRNA from 1 species
CUACGCACUCCUACGGGAGGCAGCAGUGGGGAAUAUUGCACAAUGGGCGCAAGCCUGAUGCAGCCAUGCCGCGUGUAUGAAGAAGGCCUUCGGGUUGUAAAGUACUUUCAGCAGUGAGGAAGGUGGGGUAUGUUAAUAGCAUAUUCAUUUGACGUUAGCUGCAGAAGAAGCACCGGCUAACUCCGUGCCAGCAGCCGCGGUAAUACGGAGGGUGCGAGCGUUAAUCGGAAUUACUGGGCGUAAAGCGCAUGCAGGUGGUUUGUUAAGUCAGAUGUGAAAGCCCGGGGCUCAACCUCGGAAUUGCAUUUGAAACUGGCAAACUAGAGUACUGUAGAGGGGGUAGAAUUUCAGGUGUAGCGGUGAAAUGCGUAGAGAUCUGAAGGAAUACCGGUGGCGAAGGCGGCCCCCUGGACAGAUACUGACACUCAGAUGCGAAAGCGUGGGGAGCAAACAGGAUUAGAUACCCUGGUAG